GAUGAACGCUGGCGGCGUGCUUAACACAUGCAAGUCGAACGAAGCACUUUAACCUGAUUCUUCGGAUGAAGGUUUUUGUGACUGAGUGGCGGACGGGUGAGUAACGCGUGGGUAACCUGCCUCAUACAGGGGGAUAACAGUUAGAAAUGACUGCUAAUACCGCAUAAGACCACAGAGCCGCAUGGCUCGGUGGGAAAAACUCCGGUGGUAUGAGAUGGACCCGCGUCUGAUUAGGUAGUUGGUGGGGUAACGGCCUACCAAGCCAACGAUCAGUAGCCGACCUGAGAGGGUGACCGGCCACAUUGGGACUGAGACACGGCCCAAACUCCUACGGGAGGCAGCAGUGGGGAAUAUUGCACAAUGGGGGAAACCCUGAUGCAGCGACGCCGCGUGAGCGAAGAAGUAUUUCGGUAUGUAAAGCUCUAUCAGCAGGGAAGAAA
rnacentral:rRNA from 1 species